GCGUCGCUCCCGCCGGGACCGGCCUUCGCCCCGGCGCGCGACCCGACGCAGAAGCCCCCCCAGGCCCCAAGCGCUUCCCCCUGCGCUCUCCGCGCGCGGCCCCCGCCAGCCCUGGCAGCGGCUGGCACCUUCCCGGGGAAACGGAGGCACAAACGUGCGCGGCCCCAGGCGCCUGGCAGGACGCGACACCCCUCGGAGCCUGCAAAAUCCUGGUUAUUCGGGGACCCGCAGGGAGAAGCACCCGCUCGCCCCUCCGCUGGCGGGGCGCCAUCCCCGCUCGGCGGCGGGCUCCGCGGCAAUCCCGGGCGCCGCGGGAGGAGGCUCGGCCCCCCCGAAAGCGGCCCGCGCUCCCGCGGCUGCUGCUGCGGCCGCUGCUCGGGGCGCCGGGGGAAGCGGCUUUCCUGCACGCGCCACCGCUCCUGCUCAGCGAGCGCGAUGCCGAGGAGAAAGCCGAGGAAUAAGGAGCCUUUGUCCCCGCUUUCCCUUAGCGCAUCCUUUCUUCCCCAGGCUACUCGGGGCUCCCCAGCGCGCACAGCUCCCGAGACGGCCACCAGCAGCUUUUCGGACCUAGGAACAAACACGGAGGCAACGGCGGUGCAGAAGGGGUCUGCCAGGGGCUAACGCAGGAGGAGAAAGGGGACACACCGGCGUCCCCGGCCAACGAGCAGACGCGGAAGAGAUGCACGCAGCCAGCCCGGCACGCCUGGCUGCAGCCUCUUGUUUCCCCCUCUAACACCACUGUCACUGCUUAUUCCGCGUUAAAGGUGUUUUAAUCCAUCAAGAGGGCAAAGGUUUAAACAAAAACAUGACACUUAGGAAAACUGGACUGUGCAACACUUUCCCUCCUUUUCCAUCCAAUCACAAAAUUUGCUAAAAUGUUUUAUUCUUUAUCUUCUCUUAAAUCCCACAGCACUGCACCCUUCCCUUCCACCCUUUUCUGCUCCAGGCAGAAAAUUCCCCAUCAGCGUAGCAUUUCCCCCUGCCAUCACUCCAGCAGGUUAAUUGAACUUUCCUCUUCGGUGGUGGAGAGCGGCUCCAGCAGCAGGGAAACCGGCCCUCUGAAAAUAAGGACUGAGGCUUCCCAAGGUCUGGCUUGGGCAACAUCUGCACCAAGGACCCAGAGCUGGACCAGGGCUCACAUAGGCUCCAAAUUUCCUUUGGAAUGGAAAUCUCAAAACAUUCUGCUUUACAGCUCUGUAGCAAUGUCCCAGUGCACGUUAUAGAGAGCAGGCUGCUGUCGUGUUACCGGGGCAGAAGCACAGCUUGCACGAAGCUGCUACUGAGAAGCUAGUUAAAAUGCAAAAAUGCACAUAAACCCCCUCACCAAAUUCCCAAGUUAACCCUGAAAUUUAGAGAGUUCUACAGAAGUGUUUUGUCUCAAAGUACUGUGGGAACGUUCAUGGUUCUCCCCCUGCCCCAAAGACUUUCUCGAUCAGCUCCCUGCUCCCUUUAAGCCUGCGAGGUUGGGAACGCGGCCCCGAGCCCGGUGCCCUCCACCCGCCCGGCGCAGGAAGAGCCCUCUCCGCGCGCGAGGCGGGUGAGCCCGCGGCUGCUUCCCUGCUAGGUUGGAAGGGAUGCCAGGGACACACGUCUCAGGGAAACUAUUCAAGCGCACACGGCAAAACUCUUCCUGUGGGCCGGAAGAACACGCAGUAGGAAACCACCGCUUUGGUCGCGGCGCAGUCCCAAGCCGCGGGCUCGAGGGGAGCGGGCGCUUCCCCGCGCUCCACACAGGCACCGACCUGCUGCACUGCGAUCCCUGUCUGACUGCAGGGCUUUUCGGAGGUGGACGCGUGGAGGGGAGGCAGGAAGCGAAUCCCUGACCCACUUGUACGCACCUCUUUACAAGGUUCUGCAGCAGAAACAAAUCAAAGACAACCCCUGCAACAACAGCGUGCCCAGCACAUGGGGAACGUGGUUUUCAGCAGAUGGAAAAGAUGGAGCCAUGGGACAGAGACAGUGACAGCGGCUGGCUAAAGAGAGCGAUGGCUCAGAAUUGGGAUAGGCCAGCGAUGGGACCUCGCAGUUCUGAAUCCCUGCACCUGAGACAGGUUAUUUCUUUGGUUUAUCUGAAGAUAUCUUCCAAAUCUUUCCAAAUAUACAGCGGUGAAACACAAAGGAAUGAAGUCUGUCACAAUACACUCAAAAAACUGCAUCUGCAUGAAAGAACAUGCAAGGGAUCCUUCAAAGCCAGAGCUGCCCAGGAUGUUUUCUAGAGCUGCCUAGAUUUAUUUUCCAAAGCUUUUAAGUUGUUGAAACUGCAGAGCUGGCACCCCCAAGUGGUCACUCUAAGCCGCUUCGUGUGGUUUGAACACUGUCCAGUCAAUAGUUCACCCGCUGACACCUAAAGCGCAUCCCUCCCCGCGCGCAGGGAUUUUUGAGCUCCCCGAACGUCCGCUGCUGUCAGAGCGGACAGGGUAGAGUACAGCCCUCUGCUACAGCCGAGGUGUCAGCUCCAAGCACCGCCGCACGGGCGCCAAGGCUGAAUUGGAUACAAGGACACCUUCAAAGCAAUCUCCUCCAAUUCCGUUCUGCAACGGGGAGAAACCACUAUGGGACCUUCCCUUCCCGGAGGAAGGGUCACAAGCCACGAGGCCUUCCCACAGCCAGCACUCCUUAGGUACAGAGGGCUCAUUCUACUCAUUGACAGGGGCAGAGGAAAAACCGCGUGUGGGCUUCACAGUUCGGCACUGCGCUUGCACACAGCCCGCCGGCUUCCAGGCCGGCAGACCUCCUCCCUGCACGGACAGCAUAUCCUUCAGCCUUCCCUCCUUCUCCUCCUUUUAGAUUACAGACAGGAGAACAGGAGAAGUAGUACAGGCUAAACUUGUAAUUAUCUGCUAAGUUUCACUCACAGCCAUUAACAGCCACGGAGCAACUCUUACCACUCCCCAAGCAGCAAGCAACAGCAAGCGUUGAACCCAUUUUGCUAAUCCUGGUAGGGAGUGAACAUAGAAAUGAUGCGCUGAAACGUGAACAUCUCCUGCGAGUAACCCACAGGGAUCUCACCCUGCCACAUCUCACAGCACCGAUCAGCAAGAUGUACGAGCCACCGCAGACAAAAGGCUCGUUCAGAGCUUCAGCGCUGCAUCUGCGCAGUGUUGAAAUGAAGGAGGGAGUGAGUCAGAUCCUGAGGUGUCAGAAACACUUAAACUGUGUAUUAGUGGAAUCAAACUACGAACCGCUCUCGCUCUGUGCAACGCAAUGGCCCAGGCAGCACAGGGAGGCACCACAAUUACACGAGCGCUUCCAUGCCAAACAACUCACACAAGUAAAGCCGCAGGCGCAGAGGCGAGCGCGCCAGCCAGGUGGCACCCCGAGCAAGGGGCUUGAUGGCUCUUUCAGAACAGACAAAAAGCAGAUGUUUCACAAAAGCUCACUUUCCAGGUUUAUUAAGUAAAGUUAACUGAAUUGAU